rnacentral:rRNA from 1 species
GAGACCCACGCCAACAGUUGCCAGCACGUCCUCCGGGAUGGUGGGGACACUGUUGGGACCGCCUCUGCUAAAGAGGAGGAAGGAAUGGGCAACGGUAGGUCAGCAUGCCCCGAAUUAUCCGGGCUACACGCGGGCUACAAUGGGUGGGACAAUGGGUAUCGACACCGAAAGGUGAAGGCAAUCUCCUAAACCCAUCCUUAGUUCGGAUUGUGGGCUGCAACUCGCCCACAUGAAGCUGGAAUCUGUAGUAAUCGUGUCUCAACAUGGCACGGUGAAUAU